rnacentral:misc_RNA from 1 species
UUUUUUUUUUUUUUUUUUUGCACAGAAAGAAAUCUCUUGGUAGUUUUGAGGGACAAUUUGCAGUCAGUAUCUAGGUGUCAAGUGAGGCUGGAACGAGAGUCUUAUUUCUCUUGGCAUAUAACACUGUAUGUGGGAGUGAUUAGUGCAAUUGUGUGAAUGUGAAGUGGAGUGAACAAAAAAUUUACUGUUUCUUUUGUAUGAGUAUCCCUAGUGCAUGCCUUUUAGUAAAGAUUCUAACUUGUCUCAUUGAAGAUGUCUGUUGUGCAAUAAUGUGAAUGUAUAUGCAGCCAAAAUCACAGUAAAUCAGGCGGAACAAAAAUUUGUUUUGCACCUUUUACAUGAUACAUUGGGACUUUGGAGGCGAGAGAGACUUUGGUUCCAUGUGAACCUGUUAUAAUGUACUUUUCUUCUUCUUGUGACAUCUUAUCAAUUUGCAAAAAUUUUUUGCAUUUCCAUAUUUUGUUAAUAAGAGCCUCCUUAACGAAUGUGUUAUACAUCUUUGGUUACUCAUUUUGCAUUCCAUUGUGGAUGAAGGCAGUUACAUCAAAAGGAAUUGGCUAUUGGAUCAUAUGACUCAACAAGAUCUGAGAAUUUCUUGAAGAACCUUUCAAAUGUUGAGGAUAAUUUGCGCAUGAAAAGGCUAUUAAUUUGGGUAUCAAUAUUCUCAUAUGGACAAAUCUCAUUGUUGAUUUCUGCACAAGUGGCACAUGCACAUGAAAAUAUCAGAAAAGAUGUGUUUUUUGAUGUUGGGGAGUUGUUUGAAUUGGGAAUCCAGCUCUCUUAUCUGCUUUUGCUAUUAGCCUUACUUGGAGUUGGAACCUUCUUUGUAAUUCGUCAAGUCCUUGUACGAAGAGAGCUUGAUCUUUCUGCCAAAGAAUUGCAAGAACAAGUAAGAAGUGGUGAUGCUAGUGCAACCGAACUGUUUGAACUUGGUGCAGUAAUGGUAAGGAGGAAAUUUUACCCUGCUGCUACAAAAUUUUUGCUUCAGGCAAUUGAGAAAUGGGAUGGUGAUGAUCAGGAUCUUGCCCAGGUCUACAAUGCCCUUGGUGUGAGUUAUGUUCGUGAUGGGAAACUCGACGAAGGAAUUGCUCAAUUUGAAACAGCAGUGAAGCUUCAACCUGGUUAUGUCACAGCUUGGAACAACCUUGGUGAUGCAUAUGAGAAGAAAAAAGACUUGAAAUCUGCUCUCAAGUCAUUUGAAGAGGUGCUGCUUUUUGAUCCCAACAAUAAGGUGGCACGGCCGCGGCGAGACGCAUUAAAGGAUCGUGUGCAAAUGUACAAAGGAGUUCCUGUCAAAUCCAAGGAUAGAUGAUUCUGUUGCCAUAAGAUGAUCAUAUUCUCUCUUAUUUUUAAUCAUCUUGACCAUGGAACUUGAGACCUGCCUGUAAAGGAAGCUCCCUUUCUAUUGUGUUUACGGUGAUAAAUCACAGCAAUUGACCCAAUCUUUUAUGUGUGUUAACCAGUGUAGAGUCUGGUUUAGUCCAGUUUGAUGCAAAUUUUUAACGAAACCAGUUCAUUUUUAUGUAAAAAUUGUGAAUUGAAUAUGGAAUAAAGAGAUUAAUUUAAAAAAAAA